GGAGAGGGAGGAGUCACAGCUGAGAAGCACUUCCGCUGCUACUUUGUCUUUCCUACGCGAUGGACAUCCUCACACUGUGAACCAAAGCAGUCCCUCCAUUGAGUUGCUUUUCAGCAUUUUUGUUCGGGUUUUGCAAUUCUGAAAAUCCAUCCCAGCCAAACAUUGAGUCAUGCCCCCAGUCCUUCAGUGGCCUUAUGUCACGGCAGUGAAAAGUGUCUGUCUCCAGAUGGCUCGUUAGACCCAAGGAGCAAUUCUCUUUCACUUAUAAUAUCUGCAAGUAUUUGAAUUGAUACUGAUAUCUUCAGAUUUUGUUGAAAGCUGUUGUGCAGGUCCCAGCUAUUCCAUGUCUUCAUGGCAGAUGAGAAGUGCAUGGCUGUCUGUAAGCAGAGUGUAAAAGAUGGAACAGAUUGUUUUCUUAGGUGCACACAGGCUGACACUGAAGAUGCACACGUGCCAUUGAAAUAAACCAAGAGUAUUGUGUGGCUUCCAGAGCCCUGCCUGUACCUGCACCUUUUCCUCUUCCACUCAAGAACUCAUGUUAGCAGAUCACCGGUUUUAUUGACAACAGUCAUCAGCACCAGAGAAGAAGGACCCUAAUUGUCUCUGACUUUCAGAACAGAUAAUUGUUCUUCUCCUAGAUCACAAGUUCUGUAGUGUUGAGACCUCUUCAGCUGUUGUCAGAGGCUGUUCUGUCACAUAGGAAGCAGAAUUGAGGGUUACAGACAACAUCAGCAAACUCUGGCUAGAAUUUGUUGGAUGAACAGUCAGAGCCUGAAAUUCAGGAGUUGGAGUGGCAAGCAGGUUGAUGCUACAGACUGGAUCUCCAGGGACAUCAGAAGCGCAGUGUUAUGGACCUUUCCUUUGUAGUGCUGAUGCCUUUAUUUGUUGUCUUUAGUGACCUGCCAUCGGUUUUCAGGAAGACUGGGCUGUGCCUACAGCACAAACACUGAUACCAUCACUUCUCUGUAUCGGGGCACUUCACAGGGCAAAGGGAAUGCUGGGAGAGCAAUACGUUUUUAAAGUUUUUUUUAAUUGAUAUACUUUAUUUGAAAUGUUAUAUAGUAUUGAAAACUAAUUGUAGAGACAACAGAUGUUAUUAAUUUAUAUAACUGUUUACCAUAAAAGAGAGACAUGAAAAGUAUUUAUGUUCUGGGCUGGAGGUGUGCAUCAGUGGUGGAAUGCGUGGCUAGUGUGUAUGAGGCCCUGGGUUCAAUCGCAAGGAAACCUCCUCCCCUUAAAAAAAAAGCAGAAGAUAGUUACAUGAUAAUAUUUCAGAACUUCACUGAAAGGUUUUAAAGGCUCAAUGGAGGCACAAUUGACAUAUAUAAUGAAGCCCGUAUAUUUGAAGGACAUAGUUUGGUAUAUUUUGGCACAUGUGGUGCACACCUGAAACACUGCCACCAUGAUGGAGACAAUGAAUGUAUCUCACCCCUUGAUGCCUUAUGCCUUUGCCUGUAUCUCACCCCUGUGUGUCUCCUUGUGCCUUUGCCUUUGUGUUCCUUCCCUCAGCCUUGCCAUCCCUAAGCACCUGCCAUUUACGUCCCUCAGAUCAUCUUGCAUUCUUCAGAGUAUCAUAUACAUGGGAUCAUACAAUAAAUAGCUCUCCGUGUGGCUUUUCUACUCAGCACAACUACUUGGAGACUCACCAAGGCUGCAGUGCAUAGCAUUGCUUUGUUGCUUUUUAUGAAUGACUUGUACUGAAUCGAAUAUAUAGCUUGCUUAUCUAUUUACUAGUUGACAGGCAAUUUACUUAUUUCUAUUUGGGGAUGUUGCCAUAAAAAAUGUUAUGAGAAUUUA
rnacentral:lncRNA from 1 species